rnacentral:rRNA from 1 species
CCUACGGGAGGCAGCAGUGAGGAAUAUUGGUCAAUGGCCGGAAGGCUGAACCAGCCAUGCCGCGUGAAGGUCAGUGCCCUAUGGGCGUUAAACUUCUUUUGUGCGGGAGCAAUAAUGGUCACGUGUGGCCAGACGAGAGUACCGUACGAAUAAGCAUCGGCUCACUCCGUGCCAGCAGCCGCGGUAAUACGGGGGAUGCAAGCGUUAUCCGGAUUUAUUGGGUUUAAAGGGUGCGUAGGCUGGGAGGUAAGCCAGCGGUGAAAUGCCCCCGCGCAACGGGGUGAAGUGCCAUUGAUACUGCCUGGCUGGAAUGCGGAUGCGGUGGGAGGAAUGUGUGGUGUAGCGGUGAAAUGCAUAGAUAUCACACAGAACACCGAUUGCGAAGGCAUCUCACGAAUCCGCGAUUGACGCUGAUGCACGAAAGCGUGGGUAUCAAACAGGAUUAGAUACCCCUGUAGUC